UACGAACUGCGCAAACGUUAUUCGGAAUCACUGGGCUUACAGGGUGCGUAGGCGGCCAGUCAGGUCCGAUGUGAAAUCCCACAGCUCAACUGUGGAACGGCAUUGGAAACCGAUUGGCUUGAGUGAGCUAGAGGUGCACGGAACUUCCGGUGGAGCGGUGAAAUGUGUUGAGAUCGGAAGGAACACCAGAGGCGAAAGCGGUGCACUGGAGCUUGUCUGACGCUGAGGCACGAAAGCCAGGGGAGCGAACGGG
rnacentral:rRNA from 1 species